UACGUAGGGUGCGAGCGUUAAUCGGAAUUACUGGGCGUAAAGCGUGCGCAGGCGGUUCGUUAUGUCCGAUGUGAAAGCCCCGAGCUUAACUUGGGAAUGGCAUUGGAAACUGGCGGGCUGGAGUGCGGCAGAGGGGGGUGGAAUUCCACGUGUAGCAGUGAAAUGCGUAGAGAUGUGGAGGAACACCGAUGGCGAAGGCAGCCCCCUGGGCCGACACUGACGCUCAGGCACGAAAGCGUGGGGAGCAAACAGGG
rnacentral:rRNA from 1 species